UACGGAGGGGGCUAGCGUUGUUCGGAAUUACUGAGCGUAAAGCGCACGUAGGCGGCUUUGUAAGUUAGAGGUGAAAGCCCGGGGCUCGACUCCGGAAUUGCCUUUAAGACUGCAUCGCUAGAAUUGUGGAGAGGUAAGUGGAAUUCCGAGUGUAGAGGUGAAAUUCGUAGAUAUUCGGAAGAACACCAGUGGCGAAGGCGACUUACUGGACACAUAUUGACGCUGAGGUGCGAAAGCGUGGGGAGCAAACAGG
rnacentral:rRNA from 1 species